UACGAAGGGGGCUAGCGUUGCUCGGAAUCACUGGGCGUAAAGGGUGCGUAGGCGGGUCUUUAAGUCAGGGGUGAAAUCCUGGAGCUCAACUCCAGAACUGCCUUUGAUACUGAAGAUCUUGAGUUCGGGAGAGGUGAGUGGAACUGCGAGUGUAGAGGUGAAAUUCGUAGAUAUUCGCAAGAACACCAGUGGCGAAGGCGGCUCACUGGCCCGAUACUGACGCUGAGACGCGAAAGCGUGGGGAGCAAACAGGG
rnacentral:rRNA from 1 species